CUUCAACAUUGGAUGUAGAACUUAGAAUGCUCCACAUUAUAGAAGGUGAUGAUGACGAAACGACCACAAGCAAGAACCUACAAAGAAACCAGAGUUGCAUUCCAUUGAACUUCUGUUGGAUUAUUUCAUUCACGAGCUCUCAUGCAGAAACAAUUUCGAAUUCAUUCAAGCUGUUAUACGUUUAUUUCUGAAGAUUCAUGGGGAGUCGAUUCGAAGGCAGUCAAAUUUAGAGGACAAGGCUAAAAAGCUUCUAGAACUUCAGUCAACAGUAUGGCAAUCAGUAGAUAAGUUAUUUCAGAGUGCUAGGUGCAUGGUUACAUUCCUAAGUAAUUCACAAUUCUGAACGGUUUUGAGUUAGUUGCACUAGUGUUUGUUACACAGUUUUGUUUCCUUGCCUGUUUGUAUCAAUUGUUGUAUCAAUAAUAUUUAAAUUCCAUUCUA